rnacentral:lncRNA from 1 species
CGAACCCUUUAAGGGACUGGCCAUUCUGUGAAAGGGCUUGCAGUGGAGAGUAAAGGAGGAGAAGCAGAUGAACACCAGAGAGAGGCAAAUGCGGUACCAUGUUGAGACGCCUGGGGGUGCAAAUGAAAGAGCUUUUCUGAAGACUUUGUUGCCUUCAAAGGCAGGGAGAACCAUCUCAACCAUCACAGAUGAUUUAAGCGCAAAUAAAACUCACUAUUGAG